rnacentral:lncRNA from 1 species
AAGCAGGUUAAUAUGAGGUCUUGGAUUUUGAAAUUGUAAUGAGGUAAUCUCUUAGCAACUAAGCUUAAAGCUAAUGUCAGGCUUCACUUGAAAUUGCCUGUUAAGAUAGCUUUGGUCAAUCAUUGCUAGGUUUCAAAAAAAGAGCGUGUGGGCCGUUCUUGCUCCAUUGUGAUAAAUGUGACGACUCAAGGAUUUAGCGGUGGACAAUGGGAUGUAGAAUUCGAUUGAUCUGGCACGGUGCCCGCCGCUUUCUAGAAUGAGGAGAAAGUUGACAGUUGGAUGAAGAAAAGCUUUAUGGAGCAAGUGUCAUUAAAGCUGACCUUCAGGAACAGGUCCGAUGUUGUUGCAGGCAGUCCUGGGUGAGUUAUUACAGAAAGUGCAGAGAUCACUGGAUCAGAGGUAAAAAGCACACGAGAGCUCGCCUGAGGAAGCAAGCAAAUGAACUGCCCCAAAGCCAGGAGUCUUCCAGCAUAUUCUGAGCUUGAUCCCAAUGUGUGGCUAGAGCCUCAUAAACCACAACAGGCCUGUGUGGGAUGAGGGUGAGGUUCCUCUCAGUCUCCUGGCCUUCCUCUUGCUCAGCAUUCUGAGCCUGAGCUUCCUGGGGUUUCCUGGCUCAGGCUGAAGAAUCGGCACAUACCAACUGCUUCCCAGCUGCCUGAGCCCCCUGAGCCAAUUGCACUGAAUUCUUGACAGUGAGGUUCCUCAAGCACAAUCCUGUUGGAAGUAAGGGGCACAACAAGUGCUCCCCUCUUCCACCCUCCCCUCUGGGAGGAUGUUUCCAUAGAUGGUGCUCAUCUCCUAGAUGUGGCACUCGUGGGUGGGGUAGUGUUAUCUGUCCAGAUUGUGCCUGGUUAGACUGAGGUCCUAUCUAGUCAUUUGCCCCAAGCAGGGGCCAAGAUUUAGGUCAAGCAUCUUCUCAUUACACAGGACACACUCACCUACUGGCCCAGUCCUGCUGCUUUUGCUGUCGGAGAUGCAGACUAGGGCUAAUUGUCUCCAUUUAAAGUAGAUUGAAAAAAAAAAAUCCCUUUUUCUUUAGUCAGGAUAGUGUAGGCUGCGCUUCAACAACAAAACCCUAGAAAGCUCCAUAGCUUACAAACCGGAGGUUUAUUUCUUCCUUUGCUGUAUGUCCAUUGUGGGUUGGCUGUGGCUCUGUCUCAUGUCGUCUUUACUCUGGGCCCCAGGCUGGUGCCACAGGCCCUAGCUGGGGAUGAGGGGCGGGGAGGAAGGGGUGGGGGAGCAUCAUGAACCAUCCCUUGGCCCUUAAAAUUUCUGCUUGGAAGUGACACAAGGCUCUUCUACUCCAAUUCCAUUGGCCAAAGUCAAUCAUAUGGCUAAGUCUGCUGGCAGUGGGAGAGGGAAGGGACAAUCCUUCGCCAGGGAGCAGCAUGGACUAUUUGUGAAAAAUAGGACACACGUGGUCACCAAGAGAGGCAUCCCUCAAUUUCAUUGUAAAAUCACCUGCCUUAACUUACACAUAUUAACAGAGUCUUUAUUUGCUGUCUUAAGAAACAGAGGUAAAGUCAGGUCAGGUGAGGGGUUGAGCAAUAACAGAUUCAAAGUGCAGCAGGUGAUUGAGGUUAGAGGAAUGGAAUGGGCAGCAAGAUCAGGGAAGAAGGAGGAGCCUGAGUGUGGGGGCCCUUGGGCACUAGGGGGUCUGGAAUUCUUCUUUAGGCAGUGAGGUUUCUCGGAAGAUUUUAGAGUGUUGGGAGGCAUGCUCUUCCUGGGGAGAUCCUCAAAGGCAUUAUAAAGGAGGAAUUGAAGGCUGGGUACCCCUUGGAAACCUUGACCAGGAAAGUAACGAUGAAGAUCUGAUUUUAGAGCUCCUUUGGGAAAAAGGAGAUAGAGGUGGUUAAAGUCCAAAAUUUGACGUCAGUUUCAGACAGAUUUAAGUGCAAGAUCUGCCUUUGAAAUAGCAUAGCUAGGUGAUUCGCGGAAAGUUCCUCUGCCUCUCUAAACCUAUUUCCUUCCAUGGUUUGUCAUGGGGACCAAAUAGGGGAACAUAUGUAAAGUCUCAGCAAAAAGCGUUAUACCUAGAAAGACUGUCCACGCGGAAAAGCAGAGACACCGGAGAUCCAGAAUCAUAGGCUUUGGUGACUGCCUGUGAAGAGCGCGGAUGAGGGAGGAUUUGAAGAGAGUGCCGCAGGGGCUAGGGUGGGCAUGGUAACGCCAUUCAUCUAUACAGGAGCUGGUCAUGUUUGGAGGAGGACAGACACUGAGUCUGAGAUCCCAGGGAGACGUCCAUGGAGAAGGUUCCCAGCUGGGGCUUACAAAUGCGAGGGGCUGCUGCUGCUGCUGUUGUCAGGAGACCACACUUCCAGAAGCACUCUCUUUGGCGGUUAGAGAACUUGGAAUGGAAGCACCUCCUCUCUGCACUGGGGCACGACAGCCCCCACGCGAAAGAGGACUUCCUAACCUGUUUUCCUUGCUCACAUGCUUCCCGCAUCGGAAAAACGAACAUGAUUCUAUGGCUCGGGGACAGACAGAAAGGCCAAUGGAAUGGAAUCAAGUGCCUAGAUGUUGACCCAAUAUACCUGGAAACUUGAGAUCGUAUAGAAGUAGCAUUGAUGUGAGUGUGGAAAGGAUGGCCUAUUCAAUAAAUGGUACCAGGACAUUUAUCUAGCUGAAAAAAAAAGAUCCUACAAAGUUCUUGUUUAUGCUUUCUACAAGCAAGAACAUUCUCCUAUAUAAUCUCAACACAACCACCAAAAUCAGGAAAUUAAUGCUGACACAUUACUAUCAUCUAAUUCUCAGACCUCCAUUCAAGUUUCAAAAUUGUCCCAAUAAUGACCUUUACGGAAAAGAUAUACGGUUCUAAAUCACAUGUUGCCUCAGUUAUGUCUUUUUAGUCUGUAUCAAUCUGGAACAAUUCCUCAGUCUUUUCUUGACUUUCCUAAUCUUGACCCUUUUGAAAAUUACAGGCAAGUUAUUUUGCAGAAUUAUCCCUCAAUCUGGGUUUCCUUAAUGUCUCCUUGUGAUUAGAUCCAGGUUACUUUUCUUUUUUUGGCAGGAAUAUUGCAGAAGUGAUGCUGUAUUCUUCCUGAUACGUAAGAUGUGAGGCAAAAAAAAGUCGUACUAAAUGAUUAUUCCAUUUACAUAAUAUUAAAAAAUACAAACUAAAUAAUGUAUUUUUAAGAUACACACAUACUAGUAAUACUAUAAAGAAAAGCAAGGAAAUGAUAAACACAAAUCGAGGAUAAUGAUAAAAUCUAGGGAAGAGGGAGGAAAAUGUGAUUGGGAAAGCGUGUGGGAGCUUCAAGUGUUAUUUUAUUUUUCAUAUUUUAUACAUAAGUUGUAAAUCUUUUGUUUGCAUGACAUAUUUCCUAGUAUUUUAGAAAAUAAAACUCAUUUCAGAUGCUCAUUUUUCUGAUUUUGCAGUGGGCUAAUGGAAGGUUUUCUGGUCUUUGAGCUAGCGUCUGGAAACCAUGCCCUAGCUCACAAUGAUGAUGCAGAAUGACAGUGUUUGUGUAUACCUGUUGCCCCAGCCUAAUUAUUAAUAGUGCUCUCAGAAGUGUUCCAGAUUGGAGGAUAAAUUAUGCCAAGUUCUACCUAUGUGCAUAUGGCACCUUCAUUCUCAAGAGUUCAGAAGAGCGCUUAAUGAACUGCGUCCUCCUCUCAGACCUCAUCCAUCUUGCUAGAUGACAGGGAAGCAUCCCUGACAGAACCAGCCACUGGACCCGGGCCUGCAGUUGGCCAGUCUCGAAGCUGGGGCUGGAACCGGGGUCUCCUCACUUCCUCCAAGUGUCUGUUCUUGUGCAGCCUCUGCCUUGUCUGAGUCUUAGAGUAGG